rnacentral:rRNA from 1 species
CAAUCGCCGCGGUAAUACAGAGGGUGCAAGCGUUAAUCGGAAUUACUGGGCGUAAAGCGCGCGUAGGUGGUUUGUUAAGUUGGAUGUGAAAUCCCCGGGCUCAACCUGGGAACUGCAUCCAAAACUGGCAAGCUAGAGUAUGGUAGAGGGUGGUGGAAUUUCCUGUGUAGCGGUGAAAUGCGUAGAUAUAGGAAGGAACACCAGUGGCGAAGGCGACCACCUGGACUGAUACUGACACUGAGGUGCGAAAGCGUGGGGAGCAAACAGGAUUAGAUACCCCCGUAGUCCCUGUCUCUUAUAC